ACACGGAGAUCUCGUGCGGUGAGGGGAUCCCGUGUAGAAUAGUUCACGAGAAGUGUAUAUAAUCAGUCAAUCACGGCUUUCAGUGGGACAAUCGGACGAGAGAGAGUAGGGGACAGAGCCUUUGUCGACUCACUGGAGGAAACAUACAAUGUACUAGAUCUACAUUUAUUGAAAUUAAAUACUCAUCAACCACGAUUACCGUCAUUCAUCGGACUUUUCGCAAGAAGGUGCUGGGGCUAUCAGUAAAUCUACCACAAAAGGUAGAAGGUCAAAUAAAUAGCUGGUGAGUUUGUUUGAUCCUUUUUGAGUAUACAUUUUACAGCAUCAUUGAAACAGUAAUGGCAGUGGGGCACCAACAAGCUGCGAAGAACAAGCUAGUAGGCAAAAUUCACUUCCAACACUCAAGCACAAAAUCAUUUGGCAGCUCUUCCCACCCAAUUCUACUUCUGUCACCCCCAUUCCCUCUUGAAAAGACCCCUACCUACACUGCUGUGGCCUUGUAAAGAUAGGUUGACAGGGAGCUAGACGGAUAGGGUAAGUUUAGCGUAGGAUUUUGUAGAUAGUAUUGCCAUGGCCAUGGCGGGAGGGAGUUGAGGGGGCAGUGUAGGAUU